rnacentral:rRNA from 1 species
AUUGAACGCUGGCGGCAUGCUUUACACAUGCAAGUCGAACGGUAACAGGUUAAGCUGACGAGUGGCGAACGGGUGAGUAAUGCAUCGGAACGUGCCCCAUCGUGGGGGAUAACGCAGCGAAAGCUGCGCUAAUCCCGCAUACGAUCUGAGGAUGAAAGCGGGGGACCGUAAGGCCUCGCGCGAUCGGAGCGGCCGAUGUCAGAUUAGGUAGUUGGUGGGGUAAAGGCUCACCAAGCCAACGAUCUGUAGCUGGUCUGAGAGGACGACCAGCCACACUGGGACUGAGACACGGCCCAGACUCCUACGGGAGGCAGCAGUGGGGAAUUUUGGACAAUGGGCGAAAGCCUGAUCCAGCAAUGCCGCGUGCAGGAAGAAGGCCUUCGGGUUGUAAACUGCUUUUGUACGGAGCGAAAAGGCCCUCUCUAAUACAGGGGGUUUAUGACGGUACCGUAAGAAUAAGCACCGGCUAACUACGUGCCAGCCGCCGGCGUAA